AGUACCUGAAACCGAUUGCCUACAAACAGUGGGAGCCUGAAAUGGUGACCACGUACCUUUUGUAUAAUGGGUCAGCGACUUAGUGUGACGAGCAAGCUUAAGCCGGUAGGUGUAGGCGCAGCGAAAGCGAGUCUGAAUAGGGCGUUCAGUUCGUCGCAUUAGACCCGAAACCAAGUGAUCUAGCCAUGAGCAGGCUGAAGGUAAGGUAACACUUACUGGAGGGCCGAACCCGCAUCUGUUGCAAUAGAUUGGGAUGACUUGUGGCUAGGGGUGAAAGGCCAAUCAAACUUGGAAAUAGCUGGUUCUCCGCGAAAUCUAUUUAGGUAGAGCGUCGACCGAAUACCCCGGGGGGUAAAGCACUGCAUGGGCUAGGGGUACUCACCGUCCUACCAAACCUAAGCAAACUCUGAAUACCCGGGAGUACUAGUCGGCAGACACACGGCGGGUGCUAACGUCCGUCGUGAAGAGGGAAACAACCCUGACCAGCAGCUAAGGUCCCCAAGUCAUGGCUAAGUGGGAAAGGAUGUGAGACUCCCAAAACAACCAGGAUGUUGGCUUAGAAGCAGCCAUCAUUUAAAGAAAGCGUAACAGCUCACUGGUCUAAGUAAGGGGUUUUGCGCCGAAAAUGUAACGGGGCUAAAGCCAUGCACCGAAGCUCUGGGUUUACACGCAAGUGUAAGCGGUAGCGGAGCGUUCCGUAAGCCUGCGAAGCGGCAUCUGUGAGGAGCCGUGGAGGUAUCGGAAGUGCGAAUGCUGACAUGAGUAACGAUAAAGAGGGUGAGAGACCCUCUCGCCGUAAGUCCAAGGGUUCCUGCUUAAAGUUAAUCUGAGCAGGGUUAGCCGGCCCCUAAGGCGAGGCCGAAAGGCGUAGUCGAUGGGAAUCACGUUAAUAUUCGUGAGCCUGGAGGUAGUGACGGAUCGUGUGUGUUGUUCGACCUUAUCGGAUUGGUCGGGCAGCGAAGCGGUCCCAGGAAAUAGCUCCUCCUUAUAGCCCGUACCCUAAACCGACACAGGUGGACUGGUAGAGAAUACCAAGGCGCUUGAGAGAACUCUGCUGAAGGAACUCGGCAAAUUGCACGCGUAACUUCGGAAGAAGCGUGACCCAUGUCUACGCAAGUGGAUGUGGGUGGCACAGACCAGGGGGUAGCGACUGUUUAUCAAAAACACAGGGCUCUGCGAAGUCGCAAGACGACGUAUAGGGUCUGACGCCUGCCCGGUGCUGGAAGGUUAAGAGGAGAGGUGCAAGCUUUGAAUCGAAGCCCCAGUAAACGGCGGCCGUAACUAUAACGGUCCUAAGGUAGCGAAAUUCCUUGUCGGGUAAGUUCCGACCUGCACGAAUGGCGUAACGACUUCCCCGCUGUCUCCAGCAGAGACUCAGUGAAA
rnacentral:rRNA from 1 species